CAGCACAGUACUCUCCAUUGAAAAGCACAGGCGGACCUCAGCGAGAAAAAAACAACCUUUAGAUAACCAGCUAAGCCCACUGAGAGGAGUCAUGUGAAACACUUCUAUAGGAAUGAGGCUGGCUGCUCAGAGUUGAAUCACAGUAGUCCCUCCGUUGUAUUCAGACCCUGCAUUAGCAGACCAGUUGCAAGGCACAGUGUACCUCAGUGGCAGGUGAGUCUCUUCUCUCCUGCGAGACAGAUUAGAUUGUAGUAAUGUGGUGGAUUGGAUUAGCACAGUGAGACGGGAGGGAGGAGUAAAGUAGUCCUCAGUGGCCAGUCUCUAUCGUGUGGGAGGAAGGGGUAAAGUAGUCCUCAGGGGCCAGUCUCUAUCGUGUGGGAGGGAGGGGUAAAGAGGUCCUCAGUGGCCAGUCUCUAUCGUGUGGGAGGGAGGGGUAAAGAGGUCCUCAGUGGCCAUUCUCUAUCGUGUAGCAGGGAGGGGGGG
ensembl:lncRNA